rnacentral:misc_RNA from 1 species
AACUGAUACUACCUGCGGGAACCUGCGGAAGGAUCAUUACCGAGUGUAGGGUUCCUAGCGAGCCCAACCUCCCACCCGUGUUUACUGUAACCUUAGUUGCUUCGGCGGGCCCGCCGUUUACGGCCGCCGGGGGGCAUCAGCCCCCGGGCCCGCGCCCGCCGGAGACACCACGAACUCUGUCUGAUCUAGUGAAGUCUGAGUUGAUUGUAUCGCAAUCAGUUAAAACUUUUAGCAACGGAU